UGGUGUUGUAGAUUUCACAUAAAAGAUUACAUUUGCAGGGCUGGUCCUGAUAUUGUGCUUCCAAGGUCGUUUAUAUGAAAAUUCUUUCAAGAAUAGUUUGAAAAGGAUUUCAACAUGGCAGAUAUUGACCCUGAAAAAUCAGUAAGAUCUUUAAUCCUUUCCUUAGUAAUAAAUUGUCACAGAUUUCCCCUUUUAACUUAAAUUCUAUGUUAACUUUUGACAUGGUGAUCUUGCAUUUUGUGUCACCAAUAAUUGUUUUGAUUAUACACAAUUUAAACCUAAGUCACAUAUGUACAUGUUUUAGACAGAGUGCAUGUAUCUGAGAUCAAAUUGCCUUGAAAAGGCUUGCAGAUAUUCCACGCCCAUGGAUCAGUCUUUUUAUAACAUAAGAGAAAAAAACAUAAUUGUGCUCAAGUCAUAUUUGGGUAUAUCCACACAAUUCAAAAAAACAAGCAAUGGUCUUGAAAAAAACCCACAUCACAUUGCAAACCCCAAGCAACCGCCCAUGCAAACAAAGCUCCCCCAUCAAAACCUGAUAACUGUCCUGUUACCAACAACUCAUGCACCCAACUAAACCUCCAUACCAAAACCCUUUUCCAAGUUUUCUUAAUUUUAUUAGAUUAUUGUGAUAUGCUAUUUGUCCAGUAUUUCUAUUCUGAAUGAAAAUCGAUUUGCAUAUACAGAGGCAGUUUCGUUACCUGUGCUUUCCUUUACAGUUUAGAGUUUCACUCUAUUUUUUUUUAUCAAGGUGUAAAAUCGAAAGGAGUCUUUAUCCACUAUUUGGUGUGGUUUGAAAAGUUUGUGACACGAGAAUCAGAUUGAAUGUGGAAUAAAGGGAGGAGAAUUUAUGAGAAUUGAUUUAAUUUUCUGUUGUUGGUUCUCAUCAUGGUUACAAACUGAUAUAUAGAUGGUUAUUCAGGAGGAUGGAUGCGUUAGGACAUAGAGGACUUCUAAGCUGAUAUGAAAUUGAGAAGGCACAUAUUUUGUGCUCAUAGGUCAACUAGGAGAUUAACAAAGCAAUUAAGGAGUGUGACAAUCGAAGGCUUCAGAACAAGAACUGUUUACCAGAGAUUCAUGCUUUUCAUCAUCGACCAGAGGUAAUUCAUGUACAAAGGAGGAGAGCAAAGAUGUAUUUAUUUCUUACUGUUUUUAUGCUAUUUCAAUGUAUCUUUGGAUAGAAAUUGAUUAAUUUUACUAUUAAAUUCCAGUUGUAUUGAUUUGGUAGAUGUUUUCCAUUGAAGUGUUUCUGAAAGACAAAUCGAUCAAGGGGUGCCCAUAUCAAAUUGAAGCUGCAAGAGUUAUUUCAAUUUUCCUCCUAGAAAUUAUCGUAACCCUGAAGGUACUUCUGAGGGGAAAACAAGCUUCUAUAGCCCACCUUCUCCCUCUCAGCUCUUCUUUCUAGCACAAACCCCCCAGUCCUGACCCGUUUAAUAACUCACCACAACGUUGGAAAACCAGAUAUUGGAAGAGCUCUUUUAUUAGUUUGCUAAUUUUGUUCUCCUUAUCAUGGUUGUUCUGUUUUCUACUUUGCAUGUAUUGUUUACUUUAUUUCUUCUUAUGAUGGUUGUUCUGUUUCAUUAUUUCCUAUUAUUUGUAAUGUUUUGGGGUUUGGGUUAUAAUGGUUAUUCUUAUUAUGUCUUCUCUUUAUCAUGUAUAAUGCAGAUCAAUAUGAGCAUGUCUGUAUUUCGUGUAACUGACCACCUUGGGGCUUUUCAGGUGAAGUUUGAAUGGAAACAUGUUUGUUUCUUUUUGCUCUAUUAAGCCAAUCUAAUCCAAAUCUUGAAACAUAAAUUGAGUCCCUUGAAGGUAAGGACUUUAGAAAGCUGUCAUGGUUUGUGAUUUAUUUUGUAAACAGUGGUAUACUUAAUUGUAUAGGGUACCUAGAGAAAUGGAAAGACCAUAGUUUUUGAAUAGGUUACUAAUUUGGAGAGGUGAAUUGUUAUUUUCUGAAAUUCUUACUUGCAUGCAUGUGGUUAACUUUUGUUUUCAUUAUAUAUUCAGUGUAUGCUGCUUUUUUAUCAUUCAUAUUGCCUUCUUUUUUUAAGAGCUCUAACUCUCUAAUUCUAUUUCUCCCUAUGUGGAUAUCUGUGUGUCAUUUUUCUCAUUUGUAUGUGACCCCCUUGCAAGAUGAUGGCUUCUAUGAAGAUAAUCAGUAAUUGUUAUCUCAUAGCUUCUUUGAUUAAUAGGUUACUAAUUUGGAAAGGUUAACUUCUUAACUGCUUUAUCUAUCUCUAAUGGUCAAGCAGUUGGGUCUACUGAUUAUGUUCCAAAAACAUGCUUCUUUGACACUGUUGUUGUGCAGGUAUAUAUAAUUACAUCUCUUCUUUUAAAAUUCCUGUGUUUACAAGCUGAGGGUGCUGCUAAAAGGUCUGAGGAGGCUGGGUUUGUUGAUGUUGCCCAUGUUCCUGAGCUUCCAAUGCCGGAAAUCUUGCAUGGAUUGCAAGUGCAACAAACUUCACAAAGUUGUUAAGUGUAUCUAGAUAUAGAAAGAAUAUAUAAAGCGUAUCAAGUUUUCAUGUUUUUUCAACUUUCUUUCUUUCUAAGUUUCUUUCUUUUGUGGGCUUAGGAUUCUGAGUUCACAUUUGUACUAAAAAGGGAUGAUAUAUAUCUUCGAUUUUUAAGGGCAUUAUGACAAGUUGAGUGGAAUUUUGAAAUGGUGUAUUGAAAUUGA